rnacentral:lncRNA from 1 species
AUUCCAGACCAGUCGCCGUAUUCACUCCCUGCAGACCAGCUCCCCAGGAGCAUCUCAAAGAUGGAAGAAGUCACAAGAGAAGGUCACACCCACCUGACAAGAACAACCUUCAAAACCAUAAUCUUGGAGCCUCUGGGUCACACACAGUCACCCCUUUGGCUGAGCAAAGCCGACCGGUGGGGAGAAACGGGGUGAGGACGCAGUGAGCUCAAAGGGGAACGCGGUUGUAGGAAGCUAAAGAUCAGGGGUUGGCCGCGUGCGCCUGGGCGUGCACCCUUUGUGAGCACAGAGGGUGAAUGCACGUACACAUGUGUUGUGUGUCUACUGCAGGCCUGGAUCUGGCCCUGCUCCCUGCAAAGGAUGGCCCGCCUCUGAGAGGGCUCCAGAAGGUCCUGGGGGAGGG